rnacentral:tRNA from 1 species
GUCUGGGUGGCUCAGUCGGUUGAGCGUCUGACUUUGGCUCAGGUCACGAUCUCGCGGUCCAUGAGUUCGAGCCCCGUGUCAGGCU